UACGUAGGUGGCGAGCGUUAUCCGGAUUUAUUGGGUUUAAAGGGUGCGUAGGCGGCUUUAUAAGUCUGUGGUUAAAGGUAGUCGCUUAACGAUCUUACAUGCCAUAGAUACUGUAGGGCUUGAGUUAUUUGGAGGCAGCUAGAAUUUCCGGUGUAGCGGUGAAAUACAUAGAUACCGGAAGGAAUACCGAUUGCGAAGGCAGGUUGCUACGAAUAUACUGACGCUGAUGCACGGAAGCGUGGGGAUCAAACAGG
rnacentral:rRNA from 1 species